UUUCAAAAAUAAUAAUUUUCUCCAGCAAGUAUAUGAACAACUCUAUUCAAAUAGAGACUCCUAUGCUAAAACUACUAAUAUGAGAAACCACUCUACAUGCGCAUUCAUCACUCAAACAGCACAGACAAUUAACAGACCUAAAAAGGACAAGUAAAAUUUAAUAAAUACACCCUUUAAAUACUGUGAAUCCGACUCAGGUGCGCAACGUAAUAUAAUUAAGAGUUACAAAAGGAACUCGGCAAACAUAGAUUCCAACUGUUUACCAAAAACAUAGCCUUUAGCUAAACAAAUAUUGAAGGUAAUGCCUGCCCAGUGAAAUCACUUUUAACGGCCGCGGAACCCUAACCGUGCAAAGGUAGCGUAAUCA
rnacentral:rRNA from 1 species